ACCAGAAUGGCCCAGUGGUUAAGGUGUUGGACUUAUGAGCCAGUGGACAUAUGUUUGUGCUUGUAUGAGCCCCACUUCUGGUA
rnacentral:tRNA from 1 species